ACUGUUACUAUAUCAUGACUGUAAGGUAUGAAAUAGAUAAGCUGUGAGAAAAAUCAAGCUCCUCUGCUUUCUCCCAGUAUCAACUAGAAACAACCAGUCAGACCCAGGAGGUGGGUAUCAGCAUUGUCAAUCACCUCUCUGUGUGGUGCUGCUCAUCCUCCCUCCCCUUUACCCCCUGUGCUAUCUGCUAAACCAUAGCUAGCAUAGCCAGUCGUGAAUGCUACGGCAUGGCCACCAAAAACAGCAAGGGUUUAAGACAGUUCUACUCUAAUGUAAAUUGUUUCUCUGCCAUUACCACAUUUAGCGCUAUCAAUCAACCACAUGUACUCACAUGUGGUUGGUUGAUUGAUAGCGCUAAUACCCUCCCCUCCUGGCUCUGAUUGCUUGCUUUUGGUCAGGAAUGGUGCAUUUCUUCAGAUGGCAAUAGUAGUUCAGGUGGAGGAGAUUAAUCUUUUCACAGAUGGUCUGUCACAAUAUGGUGACAGUUUAAAACAAAAAUAUAUAUAAAAAAACAGUUUUUAUAAAACUUACAUACUGCAGCUUUCACUAGUUCUUUUUACCAAGUGAAUCUUCCUAACUUUUAUAGUUUUAUAGUGUUUUAUUUUAAUCUUCUUGAUAUUUCAGUGAAGAGACCAACUUGAUUAAGAAAUCUCUUCACUCUUAAGGAUAAGAAUCCUUACAACAGUUUUCAAGACUAAAUCAUAAAAGCUGGAAGGUAUAAUAUUUAAUUAUUAAGCCUUGAACAUUUCUUUUAAAAAAACAUAUGGAUGGUCUUCAGCCUCUAUUUAUCUUGUACUUCUUGACCACUAGUACCAUCGUAUGUCCAUUGUUUAAAAAUCUGAAAUGCUUUUAUAUCUUUUUAAUUUUUUUGUAACAACCAUGACUGGGCAAGCCCAGUCCCCAUCAACCUGGAAAAUCGAUGUUGCUUUUUGAACCGUUCAGAUAAAAUCAUGUGGUAUGACCUCGACUUUAGUUGCCUACCUCUCUUUUUUUUUUCCUCCGCUGCUUCUAUCUGUUUGUAUCUUAACUUUUUUCACUCCCCCUCUCUCUACAUCUUUGAAUUCUCAGGGUAGAAGAAGUUCAGACACAGUUGAGUGUGAAAUAUAUCAGUGGAGCUUUGCAGCGUUAGACGGCCCCCUGUUGUCUGAACUUGGAGCUUGCCCCUAUUUCUCUUCAUUGUUUAAAGAGACAAAGCUGCACAGGAGCAGGGAGGUGGAUUCGAUGGAACUACAGAAGGGCUUAUGUAAGUGAUGAAACAAUGCUUACAGUUUGUAGAGAAGGUUAUAUUUUAUUAAAACUGCAAACAUGAUAAAAGAAAGCUGCAUUUCUAUAUUUCUGAAUGUCAGUUUACCAGCAUUAUAUCAGCAAGGGACACACAAUGAGCUGUACAUGAUUGGGCAAAGCUGGAAUAAAACCUCUUCCUCU